AGUCGUAACAAGGUAACCGUAGGUGAACCUGCGGUUGGAUCAUUAACAAAUGAUAUCAACGGAGUCUAACUGGCUUUCGAGUUAGUUAGUCUCUAAUACCCCAAACUAUGUGAACCGUUAUUAUGUAAUUUUGUCUGAUUCGCUUAACUAGCCUUCGGGUUGGUUAGUUAGUCGGGCAAAUAACUAUGAAAACACCCUUUAUUGAAAACCCAAGUGACAACUUUUGAAAAGCCAAUGUAGGACUUGAUUACUAGCGAUAGUAUUAAGACCUGCACUGAUCUUGUUAAUUAUAAAAGUAAACAACUUUUGACAACGGAUCUCUUGGCUCUC
rnacentral:misc_RNA from 1 species